rnacentral:rRNA from 1 species
AAUUUUGGACAAUGUGGGGGAACCCUGAUCCAGCCAUCCCGCGUGUAUGAUGACUUCCUUCGGGUUGUAAAGUACUUUUGGCAGAUCAGAAAAGGUAUCUCCUACUCCGAGAUACUACUGCCGGUAUUUGCACAAUACGCACCGGCUAACUACGUUCCAGCAGCCGCGGGAAUACGUAGGGUGCAAGCGUUAAUCGGAAUUACUGGGCGUAAAGCGUGUGUAGGCGGUUCGGAAAGAAAGAUGUGAAAUCCCAGGGCUCAACCGUGGAACUGCAUUUUUAACUGCCGAGCUAGAGUAUGUCAGAGGGGGGUAGAAUUCCACGUGUAGCAGUGAAAUGCGUAGAUAUGUGGAGGAAUACCGAUGGCGAAGGCAGCCCCCUGGGAUAAUACUGACGCUCAGACACGAAAGCGUGGGGAGCAAACA